GAUCAUGGCUCAGGAUGAACGCUGGCGGCGUGCCUAACACAUGCAAGUCGAGCGAUCUCUUCGGAGAGAGCGGCGGACGGGUGAGUAACGCGUGGGUAACCUGCCCUGUACACACGGAUAACAUACCGAAAGGUAUGCUAAUACGGGAUAAUAUAUAAGAGUCGCAUGACUUUUAUAUCAAAGAUUUUUCAGUACAGGAUGGACCCGCGUCUGAUUAGCUUGUUGGCGGGGUAACGGCCCG
rnacentral:rRNA from 1 species